CAGCAGCCGCGGGAAUACGGAGGGUGCAAGCGUUAAUCGGAAUUACUGGGCGUAAAGCGUGCGUAGGCGGUUCGUUAAGUCUGUUGUGAAAGCCCCGGGCUCAACCUGGGAAUGGCAAUGGAUACUGGCGAGCUAGAGUGUGUCAGAGGAUGGUGGAAUUCCCGGUGUAGCGGUGAAAUGCGUAGAGAUCGGGAGGAACAUCAGUGGCGAAGGCGGCCCCCUGGGCCAAUACUGACGCUCAUGCACGAAAGCGUGGGGAGCAAACAGGAUUAGAUACCCCCGUAGUCCCUGUCUCUAUACC
rnacentral:rRNA from 1 species